AGUGAACGCUGGCGGUAGGCCUAACACAUGCAAGUCGAACGGCAGCACAGAGGAGCUUGCUCCUUGGGUGGCGAGUGGCGGACGGGUGAGGAAUACAUCGGAAUCUACUCUGUCGUGGGGGAUAACGUAGGGAAACUUACGCUAAUACCGCAUACGACCUACGGGUGAAAGCAGGGGAUCUUCGGACCUUGCGCGAUUGAAUGAGCCGAUGUCGGAUUAGCUAGUUGGCGGGGUAAAGGCCCACCAAGGAGACGAUCCGUAGCUGGUCUGAGAGGAUGAUCAGCCACACUGGAACUGAGACACGGUCCAGACUCCUACGGGAGGCAGCAGUGGGGUAUAUUGGACAAUGGGCGCAAGCCUGAUCCAGCCAUACCGCGUGGGUGAAGAAGGCCUUCGGGUUGUAAAGCCCUUUUGUUGGGAAAGAAAUCCAUCUGGUUAAUACCCGGGUGGGAUGACGGUACCCAAAGAAUAAGCACCGGCUAACUUCGUGCCAGCAGCCGCCGUAA
rnacentral:rRNA from 1 species